UAUAUCUUUAAGAUCAUGUGGAAAGGGUCAUGUUAAAGUUAGCGAUUGCUUAUAUGCUUUGUGAUUUGAAUUCAAACUUCAUAAUUACUAGGAUGCUUUUGAGUAAAGUGAGUGAUGGUAUACAUUUUAUAUCCAGCAAUUUAAUAUCCGGAAGUCGUGGACGAUGACAUUGUUUUCGAUAAUACUGAUAAACGAAACAUCGUUGAACCUGAACAUCAGACACUUAUAUUUGAAGAAGUAUCUGUGGUGUCAAAGAAUCGGACUCUUAAAGAUGCACUCAAUGAUGAAGAACUCAAACAGGUUCACCCUUUCUUUGCUUUAAUUAUAUAUGUUAAGAAGAGGUUAUCAUCAAGAUGUUUUGACUUGCACAAAACUGGUAAAGGUUAUAUGAUUAAGUUUUAGUAAUCUAUUAUGUAAUACUAACAGCAAUCGGAAAGAACGGAGGUUGAAACUUCGGUGACCACAGAAAAACAACGAUUGCAGGAUCUGUAGGGCUUGGUUUCAAUCACCGCAUCUUACCUUCAAAAGUGUCACACGCGUGGCUUGGUAAUACAACAUCUAUUUAUUAUUGUUGUUAUUACUGGUGAUGAAGAUGGAAAUAGCAAGGUAGUGAUAACAACACCAACUAAGGUGGCUAGGAAGAAGGCGCGUAGAUGACCGAAUUAGACGAUGAAAGACCAGGAUACAUGAUAUCAUCAAUAUGAAGGUCUGUCUGACAUUGAGAUUGCUAAUGGAUUGACAUCUCUAGACUUGCUCGCUAAUUAAACAUAAUAAUAAGAGUGAUGGGAGUAGGGGUAUUAUCUUUUGGAUGGAGCUUGGCUCAACUUGGAUAGUUGUUCGGUCCUGCGAUCGUUAUUUUUUCUGCGUCACUGAAGUUUCAACCUCUAUUCUUUCUGAUUGCUACAGGUCUCCACACUCAGAGUAACGUCCUGAUUGGAAUACUUCGUAUCUUCAAGUUGUCAGUUACUUUUUGUGUUAGUAUUGCAAUUUAGCAUUAUUUGGAUAUUGCCUCUUACUGGCCGAUAGGUACCAGACAAUGCGUUUCUGUCUAGCAGGAAACAAAGGUUGAGAAUUAUGCCUAAGUUAUACCCUCUUUAAUCCUAUCUUGUUUAUGCUAACAAUAGUACACAAUUUGAGUUUUAUUUUUUUUGUCUUUAUAUAGACUAGACAGACUGUGAGAUCUUAGAAGGAUUGGUGGGAGAAGGUUCCACACCAUAGAUAUUCGAAUGGUAUGUUGCACUUGGAGGAGUCCUCAAAGAAGACACUUCUUUUUCCACUUGUGAUAUGAUCAAAAAACACAAACAUGGAGAAUUCAGUUUUUGUAACUAUAUAUUCUGUGCUAAAAAUUACUAUCUGAUUGUUUACUCUUCCAAAGCUAAUCACUCCAAGGUAUAAUGAAAUUAG